GGCCCAUUCAAUCCAUACGACUGAUCGACUUUGAGAAUACGGGUGAGAUAAGACCAUGGUCUAGGCUUAAAAGAUCCAUAAAAAUGAGGGCGAGUGAGAACAAGAUAAUGAAAGAGAGAGAAAAAAGAAGGGGUUAGCCAGAGUUAGAGAAUAAGAAGAGAUAUUCUCUUUAGCCAUCAUGAUUUUUGGUGUUUUCUUUUGAAAUCAAACAAAGGUAAGUAAACCAAGCCUCUAUGAGUAUUUCUCGGAAGGAGAGUCCGAAGUUUGGACUAUUAUUCUUUUUUAGUGGGUGAGUGUUUAGAUU
rnacentral:misc_RNA from 1 species